rnacentral:rRNA from 1 species
GGACCCGCACAAGCGGUGGAGCAUGUUGCUCAAUUCGACGCAACGCGAAGAACCUUACCGGGGCUUGACGUGCAUCGGACCGCCAUAGAGAUAUGGCUUCCCUUCGGGGCUGGUGCAUUAGGUGCUGCACGGCUGUCGUCAGCUCGUGCCGUGAGGUGUUGGGUUAAGUCCUCUAACGAGCGCAACCCCUAUCCACAGUUGCCAUCAGGUAAUGCUGGGCACUCUGCGGAGACUGCCGGUGAUAAACCGGAGGAAGGUGGGGAUGACGUCAAGUCAUCGUGGCCCUUACGUCCCGGGCUGCAAACGUGCUACAAUGGCUGGUACAAAAGGUUGCAAUACCGCGAGGUGGAGCUAAUCCUAAAAAACCAGUCUCAGUUCGGAUUGCAGUCUGCAACUCGACUGCAUGAAGUCGGAAUCGCUAGUAAUCGCGGAUCAGCAUGCCGCGGUGAAUACGUUCCCGGGUCUU